rnacentral:rRNA from 1 species
AACUCUAGUGGCGGACGGGUGAGUAACACGUGAGAAUUUACCUUUAGGAGGGGGAUAACAAUUGGAAACGAUUGCUAAUACCCCAUAUGCUUUUGAGUGAAAUGGAUUUAUAUUUAUCCGCCUAGAGAGAAGCUCGCGGCUGAUUAGCUUGUUGGUAAGGUAAGAGCUUACCAAGGCGACGAUCAGUAUCUGGUUUGAGAGGACGAUCAGACACACUGGAACUGAGACACGGUCCAG